UACCAGCACCCCGAGUGGUCGGGACGUUUAUUGGGCCUAAAGCAUCCGUAGCCGGUUCUACAAGUCCUCCGUUAAAUCCACCUGCUUAACAGAUGGGCUGCGGAAGAUACUAUGGAGCUAGGAGGCGGGAGAGGCAAGCGGUACUCGAUGGGUAGGGGUAAAAUCCGUUGAUCCAUUGAAGACCACCAGUGGCGAAGGCGGCUUGCCAGAACGCGCUCGACGGUGAGGGAUGAAAGCUGGGGGAGCAACCGG
rnacentral:rRNA from 1 species